AUAAAAAUAGAAGUAAUUACUGUUGUAGUGUAGCAGCCAUAACAAUGUGGGGAAUCUUAUUUGGUCGUAGCUCUACCUGGAGAGUCAGUUUUUUAUUUAAAUCUUUUUUUGCGCCUUGCAUAUUUGAAUUCGAUUCUCAUUUUACUCUCGCUACUGUACGCUGAAACAACUAUUCUUAUUGUAUUCAUUUUAUUAUCCUGUGGCCAUAAAGUGUAAAACUGUACUUUUAAAAGUUAGUAGAAAGGCUUGAUAGUAUUUUAGAUACCAAGAAUAAAGAAUUUUCGGAGUGUU